rnacentral:rRNA from 1 species
GACGAACGCUGGCGGCGUGCUUAACACAUGCAAGUCGAACGCUGAAGACCUGGCUUUUGUUGGGUUGGAUGAGUGGCGAACGGGUGAGUAACACGUGAGUAACCUGCCCUCUUCUUUGGGAUAACGCCCGGAAACGGGUGCUAAUACUGGAUAUUCACUGAUCUUCGCAUGGGGGUUGGUGGAAAGGUUUGUUCUGGUGGGGGAUGGGCUCGCGGCCUAUCAGCUUGUUGGUGGGGUGAUGGCCUACCAAGGCUUUGACGGGUAGCCGGCCUGGGAGGGUGACCGGUCACAUUGGGACUGGGAUACGGCCCAGACUCCUACGGGAGGCAGCAGUGGGGAAUAUUGCACAAUGGGCGAAAGCCUGAUGCAGCGACGCCGCGUGAGGGAUGGAGGCCUUCGGGUUGUAAACCUCUUUCGCUCAUGGUCAAGCCGCAACUGUGGGUUGUGGUGAGGGUAGUGGGUAAAGAAGCGCCGGCUAACUACGUG